rnacentral:rRNA from 1 species
UGGGGAAUCUUCCGCAAUGGACGAAAGUCUGACGGAGCAACGCCGCGUGAGUGAUGACGGCCUUCGGGUCGUAAAGCUCUGUUAAUCGGGACGAAAGGCCUUCUUGCGAAUAGUUAGAAGGAUUGACGGUACCGGAAUAGAAAGCCACGGCUAACUACGUGCCAGCAGCCGCGGUAAUACGUAGGUGGCAAGCGUUGUCCGGAAUUAUUGGGCGUAAAGCGCGCGCAGGCGGAUUGGUCAGUCUGUCUUAAAAGUUCGGGGCUUAACCCCGUGAUGGGAUGGAAACUGCCAAUCUAGAGUAUCGGAGAGGAAAGUGGAAUUCCUAGUGUAGCGGUGAAAUGCGUAGAUAUUAGGAAGAACACCAGUGGCGAAGGCGACUUUCUGGACGAAAACUGACGCUGAGGCGCGAAAGCCAGGGGAGCGAACGGGAUUAGAUACCCCGGUAGUCCUGGCCGUAAACGAUGGGUACUAGGUGUAGGAGGUAUCGACCCCUUCUGUGCCGGAGUUAACGCAAUAAGUACCCCGCCUGGGGAGUACGACCGCAAGGUUG